rnacentral:rRNA from 1 species
CCAGACUCCUACGGGAGGCAGCAGUGAGGAAUAUUGGUCAAUGGUCGGGAGACUGAACCAGCCAAGCCGCGUGAGGGAUGAAGGUACAGAGUAUCGUAAACCUCUUUUGUCAGGGAACAAAGGCGGGGACUAGUCCCCGGAUGAGGGUACCUGAAGAAAAAGCAUCGGCUAACUCCGUGCCAGCAGCCGCGGUAAUACGGAGGAUGCGAGCGUUAUCCGGAUUUAUUGGGUUUAAAGGGUGCGUAGGCGGUCCGUUAAGUCAGCGGAAAAAUGGCGGGGCUAAACCCCGUCGAGCCGUUGAAACUGGCAGACUUGAGUUGGCGAGAAGUACGCGGAAUGCGCGGUGUAGCGGUGAAAUGCAUAGAUAUCACGCAGAACUCCGAUUGCGAAGGCAGCAUACCGGCGCCCGACUGACGCUGAGGCACGAAAGCGUGGGUAUCGAACAGGAUUAGAUACCCCAGUA